rnacentral:rRNA from 1 species
GACGAACGCUGGCGGCGUGCUUAACACAUGCAAGUCGAACGGAAAGGCCCUGCUUUUGUGGGGUGCUCGAGUGGCGAACGGGUGAGUAACACGUGAGUAACCUGCCCUUGACUUUGGGAUAACUUCAGGAAACUGGGGCUAAUACCGGAUAGGAGCUCCUGCUGCAUGGUGGGGGUUGGAAAGUUUCGGCGGUUGGGGAUGGACUCGCGGCUUAUCAGCUUGUUGGUGGGGUAGUGGCUUACCAAGGCUUUGACGGGUAGCCGGCCUGAGAGGGUGACCGGCCACAUUGGGACUGAGAUACGGCUCAGACUCCUACGGGAGGCAUCGGUGGGGAAUAUUGCACAAUGGGCGGAAGCCUGUUGCAGCAACGCCGCGUGCGGGAUGACGGCCUUCGGGUUGUAAACCGCUUUCGCCUGUGACGAAGCGUGAGUGACGGUAAUGGGUAAAGAAGCACCGGCUAACUACGUG